UACAGAGGGUGCAAGCGUUGUUCGGAAUUAUUGGGCGUAAAGAGCUCGUAGGCGGUGUGUCACGUCGUUCGUGAAAACCUGCAGCUUAACUGUGGGCGUGCGGUCGAUACGGGCAUCACUGGAGUUCGGCAGGGGAGACUGGAAUUCCUGGUGUAGCGGUGAAAUGCGCAGAUAUCAGGAGGAACACCGGUGGCGAAGGCGGGUCUCUGGGCCGAUACUGACGCUGAGGAGUGAAAGCGUGGGGAGCGAACAGG
rnacentral:rRNA from 1 species